rnacentral:rRNA from 1 species
AUACGUAGGUGGCAAGCGUUGUCCGGAAGUUAUUGGGCGUAAAGCGCGCGCAGGCGGUCCUUUAAGUCUGAUGUGAAAGCCCACGGCUCAACCGUGGAGGGUCAUUGGAAACUGGGGGACUUGAGUGCAGAAGAGGAGAGUGGAAUUCCACGUGUAGCGGUGAAAUGCGUAGAGAUGUGGAGGAACACCAGUGGCGAAGGCGACUCUCUGGUCUGUAACUGACGCUGAGGCGCGAAAGCGUGGGGAGC